rnacentral:tRNA from 1 species
GCGCCGGUAGUCUAGAGGUAGGACACCGGCUUGCCAAGCCGGUAGCCCGGGUUCGAAUCCCGGCCGGCGCA